CCUUUUUUAUGUAUUAAUAUGUAUUAAUAUGUGUUUCCAACGAAAGGCGUUGUUUUCCUUGUUUGUUUACCUUGUCUGCCUAAAGAGCUCUCUGGGUGGGGGGCACCUGUACCUGAGACGCAAUAAUCUUUGGGCCCUUUCCUUCCCGGUUGGCACUUUCGGAAAUUUACUUUAUUCAAACUAGUAGUAGAAAAA